rnacentral:rRNA from 1 species
UACAGAGGGGGCAAGCGUUGUUCGGAAUUACUGGGCGUAAAGGGCGCGUAGGCGGCCUGUUAAGUCGGACGUGAAAUCCCUCGGCUCAACCGGGGAACUGCGUCCGAUACUGGCGGGCUUGAAUUCGGGAGAGGGAUGUGGAAUUCCAGGUGUAGCGGUGAAAUGCGUAGAUAUCGUAAGGAAGACCAGUGGCGAAGGCGGGUCUCUGGACAGUUCCUGACGCUGAGGCACGAAGGCCAGGGGAGCAAACGGG